CUACGCGCGGGGUGGGUGCUGCUUGCUGCAGGCUCUGGGGAGUCGCCAUGCCUACAACACAGCAGUCCCCUCAGGAUGAGCAGGAAAAGCUCUUGGAUGAAGCCAUACAGGCUGUGAAGGUCCAGUCAUUCCAAAUGAAGAGAUGCCUGGUAAGAAUGGAGAUGUGGGAGGCACAGUUGCAGUUCGUGUGUUCCUAAAGAAGCAUGUGCAGUGUCUUCUAGAGUCAGGUGUUUCUGGUAAAUCUAAUCUUCACCGUCUACCAGCAUCUAUCUUCAAUCUCAUCUCCCUCAAGCACUUUGUGGAGCAAUUUCAACAAAGAGCCGUGUUUACUCACAUGUAUAUUUAUGGUUUGGGAUUGUCUGUCUUCCCUACUAGAAUACAAGCUCAUAAGAAUAAGAGACCAUUCCUUUUAUUUACAUAUUACUGUAUUAUUACCACACCAGUGUCUGACUAGAAUUACUAGCCUCCUUGGUUCUAUACCUCAGACCUGAGGAACACUUAACAUAUAAUAGGUACUCAGUAAAUAUUUGUUGAAUGAAUGGAUUUAAAUGCUUUGCAUUUGAAUUAUUCAGCUUUUUUUUCUAAAUACCUUGAAAACUUUAAUUUCUUUGCUGAAUAGAUAAUUUAUUGUAGAAGCUAGCUUAAAAAUUAUACUUAACACUUAUUUAUGUAUUUUUAUAUUCUAAAACAUAAAGUAAGAGAUAAUCUGUGUAGAUACUGUUGAUUCUCUGGAUUAAAAUGUAAGGAAUUGAGCCAAAUUGGUUAGUACUUUAAA
rnacentral:sRNA from 1 species